CAGAUCUCCAACCGCUCGGGGUCCCGUGAUUUCCAUUAAUGAAUUCGCACACUGGCGUUACCACUCAACACACCGACGACUGCAUUGUACCAUCACUAGAAUCUAGUGCUUAAUGGCAACUCGCCCUUUCCAAAGGGUCUCAACAAGUUCAGCGAGGUGAAAUUCAGCUUUUGCCCUAUCAUCUGAAUUCACAGGACUUCCAUCUAACAUCUAAGCAAGACGAUAGACAACAAUUAGCUAAAUCUACAUUAUUGGACAUGAUGGCUAAGUAAAAAACAUCACACCAGAAUCAAGGGAUCUUAACAAUGACAGUAAUUGAUGGUGUGUGAAGAAAAAAGGGAAGAUCAGGAGACUUUAACCUGUGGUAUUCCCAUGUUUAGAAGCAAAAUGGGGAACAAAAAGGAAGCGAAUAACAAUCAGAAAAAUAGGAGGAUAACAAUAGUGUAAUAUCAUGGAUGCCAAAGGAGAGUUUCAAAAAGAAGAAGGCAACCAAUAGUGUCAAAUGUUUCAGACAAUUGUAAAAAUUCAAAAAUAAAAAUAUUUAAAACUUUCAAAAUAAAAUAUCAAAAUAUCAAAAUAAAAUAUCAAAAACUUUCUUGAUGCCAGGCAUUGGUCCAAGAGAUCUUUUUUUGGCAAAUCUUAAUAAAAUAUCUUAUUUAAUCUAAUACGUCCAAAAUACUACCAUGUCAACAUGUACCUAAUAUAAAAAUUAUAGUGUUUUUUUUCCAUACUCAGUCUUUAAAAACUGGUGCUUGUUUUAAACUUUCAGCAUACUCAAUUUGGACUAGCCACAUUUCAAAUGCUUAAUAGUUACAUGUGGGUGGUGGCUACUCUUUUGGACAGAGCAGCACAGAGAGCUGUGGGAGAAUUAAAGGAGGUGGUUCAUCUCUUUUAGGAGAUGCAGAAGAUAAAGUACUCAGCACAGGGCUGGUAGGUGGAAAACACAGAAGUGUUAGCCUCAUCCUUCCCUUACCCUCUCCCGAUAAUGGUUCAUAGUUCUCUGGACCGAAUGUGAGCAAUUCACUCUGCCUUGUAAAACCCUGAAUUCCUCACCUCCUUCUUACUUCUCCAUAAAGUACAAUGAGGGCACUCUCACCACCACCCUGCAGUGACAGUACCAACCUCUAUGGCCUGAGCUGCUGCAAUAGCUCCCCUACAUAGUGCCUUGUCAUCUGCUUCUACUCCCACCAACCCAUUCUCCACUGAGUGGAUGGAAUGCUUUUUUGGGGAGGUGAUAUUUUUAUUGUGGCAAAAUAUACAUAAGAUAGAAUGUACCAUUUUAGCCAUUUUC
rnacentral:lncRNA from 1 species